CGCCCGAGAUGCGCGGCGGCGACGCGCGGGGCAUGCCGGGAGCUGUAGUCCGCGCCGCCGCUGUAACGGUCCGGCCGGUGGUACAGCCCCCCCCUCCGCCUCCCCCAGCGGCUGCGGGCAGAGGCAGGAGCCGCGGCGCAGGCAGCGCGAGGAGCGGGGAGCGCGCGCUGCCGCCGCCGCCACCGGCACCGGCACAGGGGCCGCCGCCGCCCGAGCAGCCAGCCGUGGAAUGCUGUGAAGACUCCCCAGCCGUAGACAAACCGCUCUCCGCGUCAUCUCCAGCCCAAGAAAACUCGCCAAGAGAGCUCCCGGUCUUCCACCAUGAACCCUGUUUACAGCCCCGUCCAACCUGGGGCUCCCUACGGAAACCCGAAGAACAUGGCGUAUACAGGUUAUCCAACGGGCUAUCCCACCGCUGCCCCAGCCUACAACCCAAACAUGUAUCCAACCAGCAGCCCCGGCUACGCCCCAGCGACACUUCUGAUGAAGCAAGCCUGGCCACAGACCUCGUCCUCCUGUGCCACGGAGGGCACCUUCCACCUCCCGGUGGACACCGGGACCGAGAACAGAACUUAUCAGGCUUCUUCUGCAGCAUUCAGGUACACUGCGGGGACUCCCUACAAGGUCCCACCAACCCAGAGUAACAACGCACCUCCUCCCUACUCGCCGUCUCCGAAUCCAUACCAAACCGCGAUGUACCCCAUCAGAAGUGCCUAUCCACAGCAGAACCUGUACGCCCAGGGAGCUUAUUACACCCAGCCAGUGUACGCGGCACAGCCUCACGUUAUCCAUCACACCACCGUGGUCCAGCCCAACAGCAUCCCAUCGGCCAUCUAUCCAGCUCCGGUCGCUGCGCCCAGGACCAACGGUGUGGCCAUGGGGAUGGUCGCUGGCACCACCAUGGCCAUGUCAGCAGGAACCUUGCUGACCACCCCACAACACACCGCCAUCGGAGCACAUCCAGUUUCUGUGCCAACGUACAGGGCUCAAGGAACCCCCACCUACAGCUACGUACCUCCACACUGGUAAACCCGCCGGCCAGUUCAUAUCCGGAGUCAGACAUUGUAUGCAACUACACAAGUCUUACAUCGGUGCUGCGGCCGCUGUACUGCAGCACCUCGUCUGUUUGCAAGAACAAAAGAAAAAAACAAAAACAACAACAAAAAAAGUGCAAGGGUCACUUUAUGCAUUCUUUAGUGGUUUUGUAAAAGCUGCUUUUUCUAAUCUUAUGCCUCUUUUUUUUUUCCUCUCCCCCAUUCUCCUCCCCAACCCACAUAAAUUGUGUAACACACAUACUGACACUGAGCAAUAGUAAAGUUCUCUUUUUGGUCCUUAUCAUUUGAAAGCUCAGAAGAUUUCACUUUUCCAGCAUUGCCCAGCUGAGUGGUGCAAAGAUCCCCCCCACUUCUUGUUCGUUUGGGUUCUUUUCGUUAUUUUUCCGUUGUCGUUGUUGUUGACGAAAGCCUAGAUUUUCUUUGGCUAGUAAGAGUGGUUGAUGUUCAGGGUACUAUGUGAAAAGCACAGCGCUGGUAGGCAGGCUUAUUCUGAUUUGGUUGGGGUAUUUUUAGUUGAAUAAUAUAAAUUAUUUAAUCUUCCAUAACAUAUUACAAGAAAAUUGGUGUCUUCCAGAUAGCUGUUGUGAUAUAGAUUAUAAAUGCAUUAUCUGCAGUGAAAUUCUGAACUUGUCCCUUCUUUUGUAGGAGUAAGAGAAUAUAAAUAUAAUUAGCGACGUAACACACUUGUCUUAGGAAGUAGGAGGACUGGUCGCCAUCGGGUCUUUGGUCUGUGUUUGCAACUGGGCAAACGGGUCUUGCGUGAUGGGAAGAGAGCAGUGGAGAGAUGCCCUGGUAGCAUCUUGCACCUCUUGGGAACAUGAGAUGCUCCCCAUCGGCCACGUCCCUGGGCUGCAUGAGAGAGAAGUUCCUUCCUUGCAUGGCUGUGGGAGGAGAUGUGCUGGGUGGCUGGUGAAGGAAGCAAGGAGAUGACCAAGGGCUGCUCUGAAGAGCUUCUGCAGGUCCAAAGCUUGGUCUGAAGAGCUUCUCCAGGCCCAAGGGUUGGUCUGAAGGGCUUCUGCAGGCCCAAGGGUUGGUCUGAAGAGCUUUUCAAGUCCAAAGGUUGGUCUGAAGAGCUUUUUGAGGUCCAGGGGUUGAUCUGAAGAGCGUCUCCAGAUCCACAGGUUGGUCUAAAGAGUUUUUUGAGGUCCAAGGGUUGGUCUGAAGAGCUCCUCGAGGUCCAAGGGUUGGUCUGAAGAGUGUCUCCAGGUCCAAGGUUUGGUCUGAAGAGCUUCUCCAGGUCCAAGAGUUGGUCUAAGGAGCUUCUCCAGAGUCUGGUGGUGUGGGGAAAGAGGGCAGCUGGUUAAUGGAGAAGCAUCUCUGAUGCAGGGCGAGGAGGAAGAUGGGUGGCUUCACCUUGCACUCACGCCAUCGGCAUGGUUGAGACCAAGCCAUGAUGCCUCUGUGGUGACUGAGGGGGCCUCUCAUUCUUUGGGUUACAGCUGGGCUUGGAGACUUCCAGGAGACACAUUCAUCCAGGCACAAAUCCCAGCACUGUAGAGAAGGACCAGAGAGGGGCAUGAUGUUCGUCUGCUCUACUCGGUGAGCAAGGAGAAGUGGGGGGAAGAGGAAGCAAUAGCAAUAAACAUGUCACCUUCCUCAUCAAAAGCACUUGAGAAAAGUCAGGAGCAAGGAAGGGGAUCUACAGGUGACGUGAAUCAGCCUGGGAGACAACUGGUAUGCAGUGGCUGUGGGCAUUGGGGUCAUUUCUGGGGGUUUUGGCUUACUCAAGGCCAUGAAGCCAACCGCAGCUGGUGACAUCCCACCUCGGGGUGUCCAAGCAGAGCAAUAAGUUGUCUCGAGGGCAGCAGUGAGAGUGUUUGGAUUUGCAGACAAUGCUUGGGGCCAGUUCGGGUUAUUUUUAAAUUCUUAUCCCUAAACAAGGUUUCUUUUUAUUUUUCUAAGACAAAAACAUCGUUGGGUUUUGAUUUUUUCCUUCAAAUGUGCCAAAAGAGUUACAUUCACCCGGCAACGUCUUCGUGACUUUCACAUCUCUUGGGCUUUGAGGUCAUCACACCAGGCCAAACCCAGAGCCUUCAAAGAGGUCAGGUGAGGAGAUGUGGGGACGAAAAUCCCUCCCGGUGCUGCUUGGCGUGGAUUUCCAGCCCACACGUAGUGCUGAGUCAGCACCCAGAUGUCUCUGUUGGUUCCUCAGCUUUGGCCAUGCCUGGAUCACAUCUCCAGAUGGAGGUGAGGGCAGUGAGGACCAACUCUGGAUGGUCACCUUGAGCAGGACACGGUGGUGUAGAGCUCAGACUGGAGGGUCUUUCAGAAGAGCAAGGUGACACGUUGUUAACAUCUCCUUGCCAUUGGGAGCAUCUCCUACCUUGGCUUCUGCUGCCGUUGGGAGGAGCCACUGGAGCUCCUUCCCAUGAGCAUGGUCCAGAUGGGAAGAAACUGGUUUAGGGACCUGAGAAGGACUUUUGUUUGGUGCCGGGUGGUUUGCCAGCUUGGAUUUUUGGGGUUUGGUUGGUUCUGCUGGCUUUAAAGAUCUAGCAAAGCUCUGGUUGACCUUCCCAACCUCAAGGAGAACAAAGUGGGUGAAGACUGAACACCAGUGCUGUGGGGUGAGGAAGGUGGAUUUCUCCCAUCUAGUACUUUGCGUUGCACUUUGGGUUCAGAUAAAAGGGAAAGAGAAGGGAGAAAAAAGUAAAUAAUCAGAGGGUUGCCCUGUUGGGUUUGGUGAAGCCAAAGGUUGGCGCAUAAAGGACGAUGGGACAUUUGGAAAUACAGAUACUACAUCAUCUUUCCACUCUUUGUAGCACACUACGCUUAAACCUGGGCCAAAAAAAACCCAAGGAACUGAAGAUCUCUCACGUGUUUUUUGCUCUCAUUGUUGACUUAACAUUGUUGUCUGUCAGUGUUGAAACAUAUAGGAUGGAGUAAGCUCCAGCCACUAUGACUUGCGGGGUCUAACGAGCUUCGUUAUCCCAGCGUGGGUUCUGCAGAGAAGGACCUUUCCCAGGAGAUACCAUCCUACCACUGGCCUGGACAACCCUCUCCCUUAAUUGCUUUAGGAACAACUGCUCAAGUUUUGGCCCAUGGGUAGGAAGGAGAUGCCAGGUUUUCUCCUAAAAGUUAAGAAAACACUAAAGGUGAAGUAGAAAAGCUCCACGAGCUGGUUUAGUUCUAGUUCCUUCACUUGGAUCAGUAGUAGAUACGAUGCUCCUCACCCCAUUCUGCCCAAGCAGAAAUACUCAGUAACUCAACAAGGGUGUAAAGAGAUGAAAUAUUUGAUGUCUGUUGGGCAAGAGGCUUUGGUGAGCAUGUUUGGCAACUGAUCUUGGGUUUAGGCUUGGACCACCACUUAGCUCUAGGACCACCACAUGGCUCCAAGGUCACUAUGUGGCUCCAGGAUCACUAUGUAGCUCCAGGGUCACUACGUAACUCCAGGGCCACCACAUAGUUCUGGGGCCACCACAUGGCUCCAGGCUUGGGUAGCUCCUUCCCAAGGUGGAUUCAUGGGACCGCGGUGGUAAGAAGAUGCUCCCUGACACCACAAUGGGAUGUGGGACUUGGUGUCCCCCUGGCUGUGCCAGCAAUGACCUGCAGCCCUGUCCCCUUUCCCUUUUUGAUAGAUGGGAGGAAAGCCCAUGAUCCCAAGUCCUUUCCUUGGCUAAGUCAAGGCUUAAGUGAAGGUCCUAGGGAGGUCAUAGCCCAGUGGGCGACUCCUUUGGUGGGACACACUGAUAGGGACCACCAGCUUCUCAAAUAUUUCACUCCAGCAAAGCUUUGCUGAUGAUGUUGGUCAAAGAAAAGAGUUUCCCGUGAUGAAGGAUCCCACCAGGUGUUGGGGGACACCAGGAUGGGUUAAACCAUCCUCAGCAAGGCCACCGAAGUGUCUCGGAGAUUAAAAUUCCAGCUAAAGUAGAAGGAAAAUAACUCCCAAAUCGCUGUAAUGACCGUUAACCCAUCCCCGCUGUCACCUUUGCUUUAAAACAUGGGCUGUGACACGAGAUUUGGGGGGAAAAACAGGAAUAUUAGUAGUGAUGGUGGCCCCUUGGAGCUUGCACCCAUCCCACCUCUGAGCCCUGAACCCCAUGGAGUGACAAUUUCCUCCUGUAUUUUAUGCAUAAUAAUAACCCAGCCCAGCUUUUUGCAGUUUCGAGCUGUAAUUACCAUGAAGUGUUAUUUAAAGACUUUGUUUUCAUGAUGGAUGGUUCAGGGUUGGCAUCCAUACGGUCCUUCCCAGGUCUUAGAAUUUAAAAAUCAGUCACAUUUGGGGGUUUAUUUUCAAUAGGAAAACCCAACCAGCCGACAAUAGCAAUAAGAGCCACUGGAUAUCCAUAAAUCCUUCUUUUUUUGUUUAGUUUUUUUCCUAGUUGUCGAUGUUUUUAGGCUCUCCAUCUAUUGGUGACUCUCUCCCCAUCUUCCCUCUGCAGGAUCAGGCUCCGGAGAUUUUCUCUGCUAACGUUCCCAUAGGGAAAUAAAGGAAUAUAAAGCCUGUUAAGGAGCUUGGGAGGGAGGAGAGCUUGGAAAAGGUGUUUUUUCGGCGUACGGCACUUCCAGAUUCACUGCUAAUUGGGUAAAAUAACCCGUUUGGGGGACGUUUGCAUCUUCCCACCGGGAAUGGAGUCGGGGGGCAAAGGUGGUUCAGGAUCUGGGCGAUUCGUGGUGUCCGGAGCCAUCGGGAAGCAAAGAGAGGAAGGGGAAACAAAGGAGAUGUUGGGGUGCGGGAUGGCACCCAAACCCUCCCGUCCCCACGGCACGGAGCAAACCUGCCCCUCUUUCUAUGUAAUUGACUUUUUAGAAUUCACUUUGACCGCCGCGCCAGCUCGUUUUUAAAUAUUAUUGGACCUCUUAAGCAGAAAUGAAAUAAAUAUUAAAAAAAAUAAAAUGAAAUUGUAAAAGAAGUAUUAAAAACCAAGAGUAACCAUUGUCUUCCAAGUCUAAGUCUCUAAGGCGUGUAGGGAACAUGGCCUUGAACUGGCGCCCUGGAAAGCCCCACAGCCUCCGUUUGUCCAUCUCAAGUGUAAAUUCGUUAUCUUUGGGUUUUCUCCCCCCGUUUAUUUCCUGUUCUGGUUUUGGUUCUGAAGAUCAGGUCGUGAUCUCCCUGACAGAUUUCAGCCAAGAGUUUGUAACUGUACGAUAUUUACUGUAAGAUGUAGAACAUUCGAUAACUAUUAAAAUGUUUCCAAAAAACAAAAAGGAAAAAAAAUAAAUAAAAGAGCCUGAGAGGG